rnacentral:lncRNA from 1 species
UGGUGUAGAGACACUGGGGUGAAGGUGCAGGUGAUUGUUAGAGAAUAACUUGCAUUGAGCAUGACCAACAUGAGAACCACAUAGAUGUCUACUCACUCGUCAGUGAUCUUUUCGAUGCUGCAGUAGUGUGAGUGGUCCUUUGACCUGCAGUGUCAUUGGCUAUUCACAGCAAGGCUACUGGGUUUGACUACACAUUCCCUUGAUCCCUAGCCAUGCAAGUCCUUGCUGUAUAUGUUGGCUUCAGUAGGUUCAGGUUCACUGUUUGGAGUAGGGUGCACUU